AAAAUUGGCUUAUCUGGUAAAAUUUAGUAAAUAAAACAAAAUAAUAAAAAUAAUUUGAUAGUUGAGUAAAUAAGUAUUUAAUAAAGAAAUUUUAGGUAAGAUGAUAGUAAAAAAGUACUGUGAAGGAAAGUUGAAAUAAGUGAAAACAAAUUUAAUAAAAAGUAUAAUUUAAAAUUAGUACCUUGUGUAUCAGGGAAUUUAAAACUUUAUUUGUUAUUAAAUCGAUCCCGAAAUCUGGUGAGCUAAUUCUUUAUAAUAGUUAACGUCGCAAAGUUAUUGAUAAUAAUUUAUUAGAAAUGAAAUUUUAUUCGCACUAGCAUGUAUCUGGUUUUCCGAAAAAUAAAUUGAAUUUAGUCUUCAAUAGCACCACCUUUUGAAGGGAAAGAAUAGGAGGGAAAAGCUUCUUAUUCAAUAAUAACCCUACCACAGGUGUUUAAGUUUCAUUGUUUAAUUGGGCUUAAAGUCAGUCAAAUUUAAAUAUCGUUAUAGAUUAUCCAAAUAAGUGAAAUAAUAUUUAAAAACACCUUGGUAUCAGCCUAUCGGAAAAUUAAAAUUAAUUAUUUAAGUUUCAAUUAUAAUUAAAGUAUUAGUAUAACUUAUUGUUCACGUUGAUUAGUAGAAUAACUAAACAAUUAUAUAAUAAAGCGAUAUUAAUUGCACUAAGGAACUCGGCAAACCUCCCCUCUGCCUGUUUAACAAAAACAUGUCUAUAUGUAAUGUGGUUUAUAUAGUCUGGCCUGCCCACUGAUAAUAUAAUUAAAGGGCCGCGGUAUUCUGACCGUGCGAAGGUAGCAUAAUAAUUAGUCUCCUAAUUAGAGGCUUGUAUGAAUGGUCGGACAAGAUGGGAACUGUCUCGGUGCGAAAAAUAAAAUUUAACAUUUAAGUAAAAAGGCUUAAAUAAUAUGGGGGGACGAUAAGACCCUAUAAAGCUUUAUGAUAAGGCCUUUUUGUAAAGAAUUUCUAUUGUGAAAUUACUAGAGGGUUUAUAUCAUUUUACUGGGGCGGUAAAAGUAUAUAAUUGAAUAACUGCUUUUAUUAUUGAAAACAAUUAUAAUUGAAAUACAAAAUGAUCCAUUAUUAAUGAUUAUAAAAACAAGUUACUUUAGGGAUAACAGCGUAAUAUUUCUUGAGAGUCCUUAUCGAAAGAAAAGUUUGCGACCUCGAUGUUGAAUUAAGGGUAGCGUUAAGGCGCAGCAGUCUUAAAAGCAGAUCUGUUCGAUCUUUAAAACCUUACAUGAUUUGAGUUCAGACCGGCGUAAGCCAGGUUGGUUUCUAUCUCUCAUUCAAUAGUUAUUUAUCUUAGUACGAAAGGAUUUGAUAAAUUAAAUACUUUAUAAAAGUUGAUUAAAAAUAACU
rnacentral:rRNA from 1 species